rnacentral:rRNA from 1 species
AACAGUGGCAAGGUCGAGGCGGAAACGAGUUAUCUGAACCUUCGGGGAACGAUAACGGCGUCGAGCGGCGGACGGGUGAGUAAUGCCUAGGAAAUUGCCCUGAUGUGGGGGAUAACCAUUGGAAACGAUGGCUAAUACCGCAGAUGCCUACGGGCCAAAGAGGGGGACCUUCGGGCCUCUCGCGUCAGGAUAUGCCUAGGUGGGAUUAGCUAGUUGGUGAGGUAAGGGCUCACCAAGGCGACGAUCCCUAGCUGGUCUGAGAGGAUGAUCAGCCACACUGGAACUGAGACACGGUCCAGACUCCUACGGGAGGCAGCAGUGGGGAAUAUUGCACAAUGGGCGCAAGCCUGAUGCAGCCAUGCCGCGUGUAUGAAGAAGGCCUUCGGGUUGUAAAGUACUUUCAGUCGUGAGGAAGGCGGCGUCGUUAAUAGCGGCGUUGUUUGACGUUAGCGACAGAAGAAGCACCGGCUAACUCCGUGCCAGCAGCCGCGGUAAUACGGAGGGUGCGAGCGUUAAUCGGAAUUACUGGGCGUAAAGCGCAUGCAGGUGGUUUGUUAAGUCAGAUGUGAAAGCCCGGGGCUCAACCUCGGAAUAGCAUUUGAAACUGGCAGACUAGAGUACUGUAGAGGGGGGUAGAAUUUCAGGUGUAGCGGUGAAAUGCGUAGAGAUCUGAAGGAAUACCGGUGGCGAAGGCGGCCCCCUGGACAGAUACUGACACUCAGAUGCGAAAGCGUGGGGAGCAAACAGGAUUAGAUACCCUGGUAGUCCACGCCGUAAACGAUGUCUACUUGGAGGUUGUGGCCUUGAGCCGUGGCUUUCGGAGCUAACGCGUUAAGUAGACCGCCUGGGGAGUACGGUCGCAAGAUUAAAACUCAAUGAAUUGACGGGGGCCCGCACAAGCGGUGGAGCAUGUGGUUUAAUUCGAUGCAACGCGAGAACCUUACCUACUCUUGACAUCCAGAGACUUUCAGAGAUGGAUUGGUGCCUUCGGGACUCUGAGACAGUGCUGCAUGCUGUCGUCAGCUCGUGUUGUGAAUGUUGGGGUAGUCCCGCACGAGCGCACCUAUCUGUUGCAGCGAGUAUGUCGGACUCAGAGACUGCGGUGAUAUCGAGAAAGUGACGACUCAGUCAUCAUGGCCCUACAGUAGGCUACCACUGCUCAUUGCCACAGAGGCGCCACUCGAUGAGCGAUCCAAAUGCUGAUUCCGGAAUGAAUGACUCGCACUCUAUGAGAUUCGA